CACGUUCUUUACGUAUUUUUACUAGCAUUCCGAGUGUAGUCUAUUCUGUUGUUAUCUAGUUUGCUACAUUUGCGUUUUUAGCCUUAGUGCAUCUGUGUCACUGGAUAGUGGCCGCAUCGAGUAAUGAUAGCGUAAGGUCAUGUCCUCAGGAGGGGUGGUGGUUGCGGGGGUGUGUAGGGGUGCAGGGGGUGGCAUUUCGGGCAGGGCAGGAGGUAAGGGUGGGAAGAGGGCGGCGGUCGCCCGUAGAUUAAGGAUUGGGUCCUGGAACAUAGGUACUCUGACGGGUAAGUCCAUCGAGUUAGCGAAGGUUCUCCAACAAAGAAGGGUUAACAUAGCGUGCGUCCAGGAGACUAGGUGGAAAGGGACUAGGGCGNNN
rnacentral:lncRNA from 1 species